GACGAACGUUGGCGGCGUGCUUAACACAUGCAAGUCGAACGGAAAGGCCCUGCUUUUGUGGGGUGCUCGAGUGGCGAACGGGUGAGUAACACGUGAGUAACCUGCCCUUGACUUUGGGAUAACUUCAGGAAACUGGGGCUAAUACCGGAUAGGAGCUCCUGCUGCAUGGUGGGGGUUGGAAAGUUUCGGCGGUUGGGGAUGGACUCGCGGCUUAUCAGCUUGUUGGUGGGGUAGUGGCUUACCAAGGCUUUGACGGGUAGCCGGCCUGAGAGGGUGACCGGCCACAUUGGGACUGAGAUACGGCCCAGACUCCUACGGGAGGCAGCAGUGGGGAAUAUUGCACAAUGGGCGGAAGCCUGAUGCAGCAACGCUGCGUGCGGGAUGACGGCCUUCGGGUUGUAAACCGCUUUCGCCUGUGACGAAGCGUGAGUGACGGUAAUGGGUAAAGAAGCACCGGCUAACUACGUGCCAGCAGCCGCGGUGAUACGUAGGGUGCGAGCGUUGUCCGGAUUUAUUGGGCGUAAAGGGCUCGUAGGUGGUUGAUCGCGUCGGAAGUGUAGUCUUGGGGCUUAACCCUGAGCGUGCUUUCGAUACGGGUUGACUUGAGGAAGGUAGGGGAGAAUGGAAUUCCUGGUGGAGCGGUGGAAUGCGCAGAUAUCAGGAGGAACACCAGUGGCGAAGGCGGUUCUCUGGGCCUUUCCUGACGCUGAGGAGCGAAAGCGUGGGGAGCGAACAGGCUUAGAUACCCUGGUAGUCCACGCUGUAAACGGUGGGUACUAGGUGUGGGGUCCAUUCCACGGGUUCCGUGCCGUAGCUAACGCUUUAAGUACCCCGCCUGGGGAGUACGGCCGCAAGGCUAAAACUCAAAGGAAUUGACGGGGCCCCGCACAAGCGGCGGAGCAUGCGGAUUAAUUCGAUGCAACGCGUAGAACCUUACCUGGGUUUGACAUGGAUCGGGAGCGCUCAGAGAUGGGUGUGCCUCUUUUGGGGUCGGUUCACAGGUGGUGCAUGGCUGUCGUCAGCUCGUGUCGUGAGAUGUUGGGUUAAGUCCCGCAACGAGCGCAACCCUUGUUCACUGUUGCCAGCACGUUAUGGUGGGGACUCAGUGGAGACCGCCGGGGUCAACUCGGAGGAAGGUGGGGAUGACGUCAAGUCAUCAUGCCCCUUAUGUCCAGGGCUUCACGCAUGCUACAAUGGCUGGUACAGAGAGUGGCGAGCCUGUGAGGGUGAGCGAAUCUCGGAAAGCCGGUCUCAGUUCGGAUUGGGGUCUGCAACUCGACCUCAUGAAGUCGGAGUCGCUAGUAAUCGCAGAUCAGCAACGCUGCGGUGAAUACGUUCCCGGG
rnacentral:rRNA from 1 species